AUUUUGCUGCAACAGAGACUGGUCCAGCAUAAUAUAUUGGAGUUCGGUGCACCUGUGUAUGAACUCCAGCAUAUUAUGCUGGACCGGUAUACUUUGCUGACUCCAGUAUAAUAUACUAGAGACUGGAGAGUCUAGCAUAAUAUAUUGGAGUUCGGUGCACCUGUGUAUGAACUCCAGCAUAUUAUGCUGGACCGGUAUACUUUGCUGACUCCAGUAUAU
rnacentral:pre_miRNA from 1 species